AGUGAACGCUGGCGGUAGGCCUAACACAUGCAAGUCGAACGGCAGCACAGUAAGAGCUUGCUCUUACGGGUGGCGAGUGGCGGACGGGUGAGGAAUACAUCGGAAUCUACUUUUUCGUGGGGGAUAACGUAGGGAAACUUACGCUAAUACCGCAUACGACCUACGGGUGAAAGCAGGGGAUCUUCGGACCUUGCGCGAUUGAAUGAGCCGAUGUCGGAUUAGCUAGUUGGCGGGGUAAAGGCCCACCAAGGUGACGAUCCGUAGCUGGUCUGAGAGGAUGAUCAGCCACACUGGAACUGGGACACGGUCCAGACUCCUACGGGAGGCAGCAGUGGGGAAUAUUGGACAAUGGGCGCAAGCCUGAUCCAGCCAUACCGCGUGGGUGAAGAAGGCCUUCGGGUUGUAAAGCCCUUUUGUUGGGAAAGAAAAGCAGCAGGUUAAUACCCCGCUGUUCUGACGGUACCCAAAGAAUAAGCACCGGCUAACUUCGUG
rnacentral:rRNA from 1 species